AGCGAGUUGUGCCGAGGGACGAAGCAACGGCGCCAUAUUUCGAGGGAAUGUAUUGUUUUUCAUUUCUCGUCUUGGGAAAUAAACUGUAGCUUUAUUUGGUUAAUUUAUAUCAACACUAAUUGCUAAUUCUUUUGUUUGACGGACACAGCAAUUCUCUACGUUAUCAGCGUAACUUCUCGUUAAAUAUGUCUGGUGUAAUUCGAGGCCCUGCAGGGAACAACGACUGUCGGAUUUACGUGGGUAAUUUACCCCCUGAUAUUCGCACCAAGGACGUGGAGGAUGUGUUUUACAAAUACGGAGCCAUUCGGGAUAUUGACCUGAAAAACAGAAGAGGAGGUCCGCCGUUUGCCUUCGUGGAGUUCGAGGAUCCGAGAGAUGCAGAGGAUGCUGUAUAUGGACGAGAUGGCUAUGACUAUGAUGGCUAUCGUCUUCGAGUGGAGUUCCCAAGGAGUGGCAGGGGAGGUGGUAGAGGUGGAGGUGGAGGGGGUGGUUGUGUUGGAGCUCCCAGAGGCAGAUAUGGCCCCCCAUCCAGACGCUCUGAAUACAGGGUCAUAGUGUCAGGACUUCCUCCUAGUGGCAGCUGGCAGGACCUUAAGGAUCACAUGCGUGAAGCAGGUGAUGUAUGUUAUGCUGACGUUUUCCGAGAUGGCACCGGCGUUGUGGAGUUUGUGCGCAAAGAAGACAUGACCUACGCUGUUCGAAAACUGGAUAACACUAAGUUCCGGUCACAUGAGGGGGAGACGGCAUACAUCCGUGUAAAGGUUGAUGGCCUGCGCAGCCCCAGUUAUGGGCGCUCGCACUCUCACAGCAGGAGUCGCAGCCGGAGCAACAGCCGCAGUCACAGCUACUCUCCACGCCACAGCCGAGGAUCUCCACGUUACUCGCCCCGCCACAGCCGCUCCCGUUCCCGCACCUAAACAUCCACAUCACAACUAGUUGGCUGGCCAAACUCAUACACCCUGUGUCGCCCUCUAUUAGACCCUCUGUUAUACUUCAUUGCUCUCUUGGCUUGUUUUGUCUCUCCACUUUACCCACUUUGCAUUCCACUUUGGUUUGUUACAGAAUGUCCAAACAUUACAUUUUUAUUUGAUUGUCAUUUCGCUAAUUGUAGUUAAGUGGAUGUUUUCCGUUCUUUCUCAUCCUUCCCUGUCAGUCCUUUUUUUUUGUUCUCUUCUAUCCCAUGACCCUAUUUUGUGUGUUUGUCUUGCAUUUACAUUUAAACUGGAUAUUUAUUCUCAUCCCUUAUAUACUAUAUUUGAGACAAUAAGGGGAAAUGUUGAAAUGCUUUAAGUAUUUGUAUGUUUAAUUUGCUACUGUUAUAUUGUUAAUGAUGCUUCAAUUUUGGCUUUUUCUGGGGUGGAAAGUUUUUUAUUUUGUUGGACAACUGUUCUACUUUUACCUUUUCAUGUCUUUCUAUAGACAACAGAAGAGCAGGAUUAAAGAAAGCAUUGGAAUAAAGGAUUUUGAAGCACAGUUCAUUCAUAUUAGGAUAAAGCAUUUUUGGAGGAGGAGGAGCAGGCAUUUCAUUUAAGGAAGCAAUGGUUUGGAUUGGAGGAGGGGCUCACUGUGUCCCGAUCCUUGGAGCCGAAUCAUUGGAUCAGUUCAGGAUCAGGAGCAGAAUUAGGAUUAGGAUAAGGAUGGAUACAUACAUGGAGCGGGAUCAAAUUAACCGGGAGCGGGAACCAUAUGAAAAGAGGAUCCCAACCCCAGCCCCACAUCCCCCACCAAAUCACAAUUAAAGGAGUUAAACGCAGAAAAGGAUAUUUGACGUCUUAAUUGGCUUCUUUAAAACCAAAUUCUUUUUUCCGUGAGUCGUCAAUGAUGCGUGCAGAAAGGAUCCAGGCGCUUCUUUUGUUUUGUGAGAUGAGUUUUUCGAAUUUGAUAAGGAGCAGAGCAAGGAACCAGAAGGCUGGAUCAGUUGCUUUGGAUGGAAUCCACAUGAAGAGCGUGACUAAGAGAACCAGAAGAACUGCAAAAAGAACAAGACAAGCCCUUCUUCAAACAAGUGACCCUGUGCCUGUCAGUCAUUCAACACCCUCUGAGCAGAAGGAUAGCAAUUCUGCCAAUCAAAUUUCUGAAAAGGAAAAUGGAGGAGCCUCUCUGUAUCACCAAGAUACUGACAGUUUGGAUGAUUUUAAUGAAGAUUCAGGGCAUCGGUUGCUGUUUCCAUUGAUCUAUCCCUGGAGGACUCAGAGAUUCAGUUUGGAAUUGUUCAUGAUCAUUAUCACAUCCUGAUUCCACUCUUCCCUGGACUACAGAGGAUGGUGUGGGUCCUAGACAGAUGAUUCAGGGAGGAGAGAGGAUGUUGAGGAUAGUACUAGAGUGGAAGAUUUAGGAACUGUAGAAACGGGCCCAGGCAAAACUCAAAGAAUACCCUCUCACCAGCUUUGGACUACAGAGAGGUGGUUGCUAGUGUGAAAAUAAAAUUGUCUGGGCUAAGCCCCGGAUGUCCUUCAAUGCUGGAAAUGCCUCUGGUUAUAUUUAUAAUAAAUAUAAAGAAAAAACUUUAAAGGAAUGGUUUAACCAAAAUGAAAAUUCUUUCAUAAUUUACUCACCCACAGGUUGUUUCGAACUUGUAUUUUUUUUUCCUUUUCUGUAGAGCACAAUCUUGGUUCAAUCUUGGUUGCUCCUUGUCAUAUAAUUAAAUUGAAUGAGGACUUGGUCUGUCAAGAUCCUUAGAUUAUCAGUGAAUAACGACUUAAUUUUGAGUCUAUUCCUCACAAACUAUUGUACCACUUCAGACAACUUGGAAAAUAGAACAAAAUUGAUGGUGCUUUUAUCAUUCAAUUUGUUUUGACAGACCGAGUCCCCGUUCGCUUUCAUUAUAUGGAAAUGAAAUCUCCAGGUUGCUCUGGGGGGAUUGUCCCUGUAAUAAGUGCACUGUAAGUCGCUUUGGAUAAAAGCGUCUGCCAAAUGCAUAAAUGCAUAAUUCAUUUAGCAGACACUUUUAUCCAAAGCGACUUACAUAUGAGAACAAUAAGCGAUUUAACAUAAGAAGUCAAUAACAUGAGAAUGAUGAGAGAAUUUAAAUUUUUUGGGUGAACUAUAUGACCUGUGAAACAUUACAUCUUAUAAUGCCAAAUAAAUUUUUUUGUUUAGUGCCAAUGUGGGCUGAUGCUUUACAACAACUAUGUAUUUAGGCUUUAUAACAACUGACACAAUAAAUGUAUAGUAAUUGUUUUAGUAUUAACAUGACUCAUGAGAUGGAUUGGAUGUGUUUCUAGAUGGUUUAAAUAAAAGCCCACAGUCACACUGGCACUGUGUUCUUUAAUGUUAUCUACACACGUAAUACAAAUUUUCCCAUUUUUAAUCCUAUUGGAUCCACCAUUAAAUGGUCAACCCCCCAAUUAGAUGGAGCAAUCUCUGAACACCACCUUAUGACAGCAUUAGAAGAAGCAUCCAAGGGAGUGAAACAGAUUAGAUAUGUGAAGAUAAGAUGGGCCAAUGUUGUAAAAGAUGUUUUGGAGAUCUUCAUGGACCCCCAAAUACUGAAAAUAGCCCUGCGAAUUGAACUCACAAAUGAAAACGCUCUUGAUGAUGAUGGAGUGUCACGGGAACUGUACACAGCCUUCUGGGAAGAUUUCCUUGCUCAGUGUGAGGGUGAGGAAGAACGAGUUCCAAGACUGCGGCCAGACUACUCAGAGAGAGUGGCAAGCUGUUGGAAGAGUGUGGGUGACAGGAUAUGCUGAUCAUGGUUUGAUUCCUGUCAGGUUGUCUCCAGCAUUUAUAUUGGCAUGUUGACACUGUGGGUGAAGAGCUUCUGAUGUCCUCCUUUUUAAAAUAUUUGUCUAUCUCUGAGCAAUCCGUGGUUGAAAAAGCAGUUCAAGGCAGCAUGGAUGAAAGUGCUGAAGAAGAUUUACUUGACCUCUUCUCACGGAUGGGCUCACACUGCCUCCAAAACAGAACAUGCAUUCUGCUAUUUUGACAAUGGCUCACAAAGUCCUGCUUCAAGAGCCCACAUUUAUAAUUGACUGCUUCCGCUCCAUUAUGCCAAGUGGCAUUCUGAAUCUAACCACACAAAGCAUUCUGGAAGCUUAUAAUUCAAAGAAAGCUACAAACAAGAAAGUGGCUCAAAUGUUUAAGCCAUCAAAAGAUUUUCUGAACCAGCAGGAGCAACUUACCCUUAAUCAUUUGCAACGAAGAAGCCUAGACCAAAGAAAACUUGAGACCUUCUUACGGUUCUGUACAGGAUCUACUGCCAUGUGUAAUGACAAAAUUGAAGUCAUGUUUAAUGGAUUAUGUGCUCUUGGAUGGAGUCCUGUUGCACACACAUGCGGAGCAGUUCUCAACUUACCAUGUACCUACAACUCAUACCCAGAAUUUCGUGCAGAGUUUGACCAUGUGCUAACUGGAGAUUGCUUUGCAAUGGACAUACUGUAAUUGAAAAAAUCAGUGACUGUAGCUCAUUUAGUUAAUUAAGCGUAUUGAUGCACUGUAAAUGUAUGUUUUUUUACUACCUUUUAUUAUUUUUAUGAAAAGUAAAGCUUUCAUUUCAGAGUUUCCAUUUACAUCCUAAGGAUAUGGAAUCAAAAUUGGCCUGUUUAUAUAAAACCUGAAACUCAAUUCAACUGAAUGUUUUUCGAGAAAAUACUACUGUGUUUGAAAUGAGUACAGUUACAUAUGAUUUGUAAUUCAAUGUUUAUUGGUUACAAGUCAGAAUCAUAUCAAAUAGUCAUCCGUUGGACAGUUUUGUUUGUAUACAUAGACACAGAGAGUACCAUCAUUUUGUUUCACUGCAUGAAGUUGAUGAGAUGUUGUAUUGCUGUUUUGCAGAAGUGUUUUAUAAAUCAAAAGUUUUUAAUGUUUUAGCCAAACAGUUGUUUAGCUAUGAAAAGCUAUGCCUGUUCAAUUAUAAUGCAGUUCAAGACUCAGACAAGUUUCUUAUGCACUUUGAUUUGAAUUCAUACUGUGUAUACUUGUCAUUUAUUUUAUGUUAUUAGAAUUGACUGUAAUGCAGCAAACACAUGGUCGGGUCUGAGUAACCAUGUUU